rnacentral:lncRNA from 1 species
AAACGUACAGAUUCAGAAUAUCAAAUGUGGGGCUUCAACUGUCCCUAAACUUCGAAAUAUUAGGUCAUAUGUUGAAGCUCGUUGAGGUCGAGGGAACCUACACAAUCCAAACCAAGUUCACUUCACUCGACAUUCACGUUGGUCAAUCUUACUCUGUCCUGGUCACCAUGGACCAGCCUCCCCAAAACUAUUCGAUUGUCGUGGGGACGAGAUUCACUGACUCACGAUCUACGAAUAGAAUUAUUCUUCACUACUCCAACUCCAAAAGCUCUAAAUUUGUCCCUAAUAGACAACCUGACAAUGACAUAGACUUUUCGAUUAAACAGGCUCGGUCCAUUAAGACUAACCUGACUGCGUCCAGGCAAAGGCAAGAUGCUCAGGGCUCAUACCAUUAUGGUCGAAUCAAGAUUUCUAGGACAUUAAUACUUGAAAGCUCAGCAGGCGUUGUGAACAGGAAGCAACGAUAUGCCAUAAAUGGCGUAUCAUUCGUUCCUGCUGAUACUCCACUGAAGCUAGCAGAUUAAUGAACAGGAAGCAACGAAAUGCAAUAAAUGGCGUAUCAUUCGCUCCUGCUGAUACUCCACUGAAGCUAGCAGAUUACUUUAAGAUCAAAGGUGUUUUCAAAGUAGGAAGCAUCCCAGAUAAGCCUGGAAGAGCAGGGAUCAGACUAGAAACAGCAGUGAUGGGAGUACACCACAAGGAUUUUCUUGAGAUCGUCUUUCAAAACCGCGAGAAGUACGUCCAGACUUACCAUCUCGAUGGAUACAACUUCUGGGUUGUCGGGUGAGAACAAUAACUUAAUCAUAUACUAUGGUAAUGAUAUUAAGCAUUGAAGGUCAUUGACGUAUGUGACUUCUCAACAGGAUUGGUAAUCGAUGGUCUACAUGGUCACAGGCGAGCAGACGAGACUAUAACCUCAGGGAUGCUAUUUCUCGCUCCACUACUCAGGUGACGUGAACUCUCUCCAUAUAUCUAUACAGUUUUGGAAUUUGUUGUCAAUAGAUUUUAUGCAAAGCUCAUACAAUUCCCCGUGGGGCACGUCCCCUCCCAGCUGAAAUUUAGUCACCAAUGAUAAUUUGAUCAUCAAUGUUCACAAUGAUCUGGACGAGCCUUUUCUCUUGUCUUGGUAUCUAUUUAUUUACCUCUUUCGUUUCACCUUUCGGUAAACAUAAUUUGAACCCGAUUCACAUGAAAUAUUUCUACAUCCAUUUAAAAAGCAAUGCAAUUUUAAUAUAUAUAUAUAUAUAUAUAUAUGCAUAUAUGGAAAUUAUAAGUUAUAUUAGAAGAAGGCCAUUUGCAUGCACAUGUGCCGUUUCUUCCCAUUCUUUCUAUUUUGUUGGGUAAUAUUACACGUCAUGUUUCAUCCUAAUUACAGUAUCAUAAAAAAAAAUCAUAUAAAUAUCAUAAACACAAAACAUGUUUUCAUAAAUGGAGGAACGGCUUGCAUCUAAAGAGAAACUCUUACCAAGAUGGAGUGUAUGGGACGACUUGUCCAAUCCCACCUGGAAAGAAUUACACUUAUGCCUUCCAUCUCGAAGACCAGAUCGGAAGUUUCUUCUACUUCCCUUCGCUGGCCGUUCAAAAAGCCGCCGGUGGUUUUGGUGCCAUCCGUAUCCUCAGUCGCCCUGGCACGCCCGUCCCUUUCCCGCAACCAGCCGGAGACUUCACCAUCCUCAUCGGGGAUUGGUAUACUGGGGAAGACCACAAGGUUUAUAUCUUAAUUAUUAACUUAUCAUGUUUGCUUAGCACAACGGCUGGCUCAAGAUUAUUGUGGGUUUACAUGGCGAUUUUUAAUUUUAUUUUUGGAUUCACAUUGGAUUUCUAGACCUUUUUAUUAAAUAAUGUUUGUUUUUUAAAAGUAUUACUAAUCCCACACGUAGGAUUUAAAGGCACGUUUGGAUGGAGGACGCAUGAUACCUAGGCCUUCUAGUGUAUAGUGUUUUGAUCAAUGGCAAUGAAGACACCGCCUCUACUUCUCUAACUGUCGACAAAGGUUAAUGUUUAAAACUCCAAACUCUAAUAUGUUAGUUACAAAGAAGAGCAUUUUCGCGAUCUCAUCAUCACUUUCAUGGGUUAAUAAUUAACAGGUAAAACGUACAGAUUCAGAAUAUCAAAUGUGGGGCUUCAACUGUCCCUAAACUUCGAAAUAUUAGGUCAUAUGUUGAAGCUCGUUGAGGUCGAGGGAACCUACACAAUCCAAACCAAGUUCACUUCACUCGACAUUCACGUUGGUCAAUCUUACUCUGUCCUGGUCACCAUGGACCAGCCUCCCCAAAACUAUUCGAUUGUCGUGGGGACGAGAUUCACUGACUCACGAUCUACGAAUAUAAUUAUUCUUCACUACUCCAACUCCAAAAGCUCUAAAUUUGUCCCUAAUAGACAACCUGACAAUGACAUAGACUUUUCGAUUAAACAGGCUCGGUCCAUUAAGACUAACCUGACUGCCUCCAGGCAAAGGCAAGAUGCUCAGGGCUCAUACCAUUAUGGUCGAAUCAAGAUUUCUAGGACAUUAAUACUUGAAAGCUCAGCAGGCGUUGUGAACAGGAAGCAACGAUAUGCCAU